rnacentral:rRNA from 1 species
GUAAGGAAUAUUGGUCAAUGGACGAAAGUCUGAACCAGCCAUGCCGCGUGGAGGAUGAAGGUCCUCUGGAUUGUAAACUUCUUUUAUAUGGGACGAAAAUGGGGCUUUCUAGCUCAACUGACGGUACCAUAUGAAUAAGCACCGGCUAACUCCGUGCCAGCAGCCGCGGUAAUACGGAGGGUGCAAGCGUUAUCCGGAUUCACUGGGUUUAAAGGGUGCGUAGGUGGAUUGGUAAGUCAGAGGUGAAAUCUCCGGGCUCAACUCGGAAACUGCCUUUGAUACUAUCAAUCUUGAAUAUUGUGGAGGUUAGCGGAAUAUGUCAUGUAGUGGUGAAAUGCUUAGAUAUGACAUAGAACACCAAUUGCGAAGGCAGCUGGCUACACAUAUAUUGACACUGAGGCACGAAAGCGUGGGGAUCAAACAGGAUUAGAAACCCGGGUAGUCC